rnacentral:rRNA from 1 species
UGCGGCAGCUUACCAUGCAGUCGAGCGGUAACAGAGAGUAGCUUGCUACUUUGCUGACGAGCGGCGGACGGGUGAGUAAUGCUUGGGAAUAUGCCUUAUGGUGGGGGACAACAGUUGGAAACGACUGCUAAUACCGCAUAACGUCUACGGACCAAAGGGGGGGAUCUUCGGACCUCUCGCCAUUUGAUUAGCCCAAGUGAGAUUAGCUAGUUGGUAAGGUAAAGGCUUACCAAGGCGACGAUCUCUAGCUGGUUUGAGAGGAUGAUCAGCCACACUGGGACUGAGACACGGCCCAGACUCCUACGGGAGGCAGCAGUGGGGAAUAUUGCACAAUGGGCGAAAGCCUGAUGCAGCCAUGCCGCGUGUGUGAAGAAGGCCUUCGGGUUGUAAAGCACUUUCAGUUGUGAGGAAAGGGGUGUAGUUAAUAGCUGCAUCCUGUGACGUUAGCAACAGAAGAAGCACCGGCUAACUUCGUGCCAGCAGCCGCGGUAAC